UCGCUGCUUCUCUCCCAUAACUCCACCCCAUAGUUACUGUUGCUAUGACGAAUCCGUGCGCGAGAAGGUGUCGCGGGAGAAGGGUCAGAUCGGGCAAGGUGCUGCAAGCUAGCUGAUGGCUAGUACACCCAGCUAGGUUAGAUAACUAGCUCGCUGGAUAUGGUGAGAGGCAACAGUGUGCUCUGCUAACUAGCCAGCAACCCGUUUUUUAUUGUAUAAAUGAGCUUGAUUUGGUUUGUAUUUAUUUUACUUUUCCAUUUUGAAUAAAGAAGACUCAGUGGCUACUGGCUCCUAGACUAGGUAACUACAUUAACAACAAAGAAGACGUCAACGAACACUCCUAGGAAACUCUGAGAAAGUAGUGGUUCCGUUGAACAAUGGCAUUGCUGUGUGUGGACAACCCCAAUAGCUCCUCCAGCAGAUGCUGCCCCCUCCUGUCUUCCAGAUGCCGCUGACCAAGCUGCCCACCAUCAAACAGGUGGUUCCUGGCUGAUGAUCUGUCUCCAUAGCUCAGAGAAACCGAGGAGGAAUAUCACUUUGUCUCCAAUACUACAGUCGUAGCCAAAAGUMUUUAGAAUGACACAAAAAGUUUGCUGCUUCAAUGUCUUUAGAUAUUUUUGUCAGAUGUUACUA